rnacentral:rRNA from 1 species
CCUACGGGUGGCAGCAGUGGGGAAUAUUGCACAAUGGGCGCAAGCCUGAUGCAGCCAUGCCGCGUGUGUGAAGAAGGCCUUCGGGUUGUAAAGCACUUUCAGCGGGGAGGAAGGCGGUGAGGUUAAUAACCUCAUCGAUUGACGUUACCCGCAGAAGAAGCACCGGCUAACUCCGUGCCAGCAGCCGCGGUAAUACGGAGGGUGCAAGCGUUAAUCGGAAUUACUGGGCGUAAAGCGCACGCAGGCGGUCUGUCAAGUCGGAUGUGAAAUCCCCGGGCUCAACCUGGGAACUGCAUUCGAAACUGGCAGGCUAGAGUCUUGUAGAGGGGGGUAGAAUUCCAGGUGUAGCGGUGAAAUGCGUAGAGAUCUGGAGGAAUACCGGUGGCGAAGGCGGCCCCCUGGACAAAGACUGACGCUCAGGUGCGAAAGCGUGGGGAGCAAACAGGAUUAGAUACCCCGGUAGUC